rnacentral:lncRNA from 13 species
AUGGCUUCGUUGCGAAUGGUCGCCAAACUCCGGGCUGGAGUUGUCGGAUGUACUAAACCGUUCCGCUACGCACUCAAAACAACCCGAUCUCCGGUGAAAUUACUGCAUACGGACCAUCCCAGACAGCCACAGUGGAGAUGUCCUCCCCAAGUGGUCUUCUGCAGUACUGUAGCACCCUCUAGUGAUGUGGUGUUGCAGUAUAAACAUGGACGACCGGUGCUGGCUGUGCCGCUACCCUCCAGGCAGGAGAGCUGUCUGUUCUUCCUCAGGCCCAUGUUAAUGACUGUAGGAGACCUGAUCCACGACCUGCAGAGAGAAGACCCAGGAGUCACCUCUGCCUCUGUGCUCACCAAGGGUAGGACACACACAAAUAUGUUGUACACACACAUAAAUAUAUGUUGUACACACACAAAUGUUGUGUACACACACUCAAAUGCAAACAUUUGCCCGUAUUCAUAAAGCAUUUCAGAGUAUGAGUGCCUAUCUAGGAGCAGUUCAGCCUUUUAAAUAAUAAUGAAUAUGAUUUAAUGGACAGGGCAGAACUGAUCCUAGAUCAGCACACCUACUCUGA